rnacentral:tRNA from 1 species
UGGCUGAGCGGUAAAGCACUUGGCUUUUGAACCAGGUGUCCUGGAUUCAAAUCCUAG